CUGCUCACUUCUGCAGCACAUACACUAAAAAUUGGAACGAUACAGAGAAGAUUGGCGUGGCCCCUGUGCAAGGAUGACACACAAAUUUGUGACGCAUUCCAUACUUUU
rnacentral:snRNA from 1 species